CCUACGGGGGACAGCAGUGGGGAAUAUUGCACAAUGGGCGAAAGCCUGAUGCAGCGACGCCGCGUGAGUGAAGAAGUAAUUCGUUAUGUAAAGCCCUAUCAGCAGGGAAGCAAAUGACGGUACCUGAGUAAGAAGCCCCGGCUAACUACGUGCCAGCAGCCGCGGUAAUACGGAGGAUGCGAGCGUUAUCCGGAUUUAUUGGGUUUAAAGGGUGCGUAGGCGGACUGUUAAGUCAGCGGUAAAAGCCCGGGGCUCAACCCCGGCGAGCCGUUGAAACUGGCUGUCUUGAGAUGGCGAGAGGUAUGCGGAAUGCGCAGUGUAGCGGUGAAAUGCUUAGAUAUUGCGCAGAACUCCGAUUGCGAAGGCAGCAUACCGGCGGCGAUCUGACGCUGAGGCACGAAAGCGUGGGUAUCGAACAGGAUUAGAUACCCCGGUAGUC
rnacentral:rRNA from 1 species